rnacentral:rRNA from 1 species
CGCAGUAUUUUAACUGUGCUAAGGUAGCAUAAUCAAUGAGUCUUAUAAUUGAAGACUGGAAUGAAUGAUCGGACAAGGGACUAUCUGUCUCUUUUUAAUAAUAUAGAAUUUUACUUUUAAGUGAAAAGGCUUAAAUAAGUUAAUGGGAAGACAAGACCCUAUAAAACUUUACAAAAUACAUUAAUAAGUAAUAUGGUGGUAUAAAGUUAUAUUAAUUUAUUUUUGUUGAGCUGGGGCGGUUUUUAUAAAAUAAAUUAACUGUAAGUUAAAUUCAAAUAUAAAUAUAUAGGUUGAUAAGAUCCUUAUAAGUAGAGAUUAUAAGAUUAAGUUACUUUAGGGAUAACAGCAUAAUUUUCCUUGAGAGUUCUUAUCGACAGGAGUAGUUGUGACCUCGAUGUUGAAUUAAAGUUUCCUUUUAAGCCGAAGAAG